rnacentral:lncRNA from 12 species
CCUUGUAUUACACUAUGACAGCAUUGCGUGCUCUCACGCUCCUGAAAUCCAGGCUCUUUCAAUUUGCUUUGCACUCCCCGUUGCAAGAGAGGAAAGACUUGGGCUGUUUCCCUCGUCCUUAUCAGGGACCCUUCCGUUCCUUUGGAAAUUGGAAACUCACAAGCCCCUCCGGGCUGCUGGUGCCGGUGUAGACCUGGCCCCUCCGGGCGGUGACACCCUUCCUCCUGCAGCCCAUCCGUCCUUCCAGGGCAGAUGCAACGGUACUUUCCGUUACCGGAACUUGUGGCCAGGAACACACACACACACACACACACACACACGCAUGCACACGCACACACAUGCACACACAUACAGGCACAUGCACAGGCGCUCUGUGUGGCAUCUGUAGCACAGCAGCCAGGUCUCACACACACAUAUGCACACACACACAGGCACUCUGUGUUGUAUCUGUAGCACAGCAGACAGGUCUCUCUCUCUCACACACACACAGACACACGCAUAGGCAUAUGCACAGGCACAGGCGCUCCGUGUAGCAUGUGUAGCACAGCAGCCAGGUCUCUCUCUCUCACACACACACACACAAACACUCUGUUGCAUCUGCAGCACAGCAGCCAGGUCUCACACACACGCGCAUGCACAUGCACAGGCACAGGCACAGGCACAGGCACACGCACAGGCGCUCUGUGUUGCAUCUGGAGCACAACAGCCAGAGAAAAGUUUACUGGCCGUAGCCAACGGGAGGCUGUGGAGCUGAGCCAAGCCAGCGUGUUUUUCUCCGCCUCUGGAUGAAGUCAUGAUGGAAAUAUGGGCCUGAACCGCUUUUCUGAAGGGAGAGAGCGCUAGGAAAGCAAAGCUGAGCCUGCAGGAAAGGGCCCGUGCCAGGGGAGCGGGUUAGGAAGGGCGUGCAUGCUCCGGGGCCCCAGCGGCUCUGGGCCGGGGCCCUCGCCACCUCAUAACUUAAUUCAAAUUAACCAAUCAACAAGAAGCUCAUGAAACCUAGUUACCCGCAUCCCACUGGCCG